UACGGGGGAAAGGGGGGGAUCUUCGGACCUCUCGCUAUUAGAUGAGCCCAAGUCGGAUUAGCUAGUUGGUGGGGUAAAGGCUCACCAAGGCGACGAUCCGUAGCUGGUCUGAGAGGAUGAUCAGCCACACUGGAACUGAGACACGGUCCAGACUCCUACGGGAGGCAGCAGUGGGGAAUAUUGGACAAUGGGCGAAAGCCUGAUCCAGCCAUGCCGCGUGUGUGAAGAAGGCCUUCGGGUUGUAAAGCACUUUAAGCGAGGAGGAAUGGCUCUGGGUUAAUACCCUUGAGCAGUGACGUUACUCGCAGAAUAAGCACCGGCUAACUCUGUGCCAGCAGCCGCGGUAAUA
rnacentral:rRNA from 1 species